rnacentral:rRNA from 1 species
GCGUGAGUGAAGAAGGCCUUAGGGUUGUAAAGCUCUUUCACGGGCGACGAUGAUGACGGUAGCCCGAGAAGAAGCCCCGGCUAACUCCGUGCCAGCAGCCGCGGUAAUACGGAGGGGGCGAGCGUUGUUCGGAAUUACUGGGCGUAAAGGGCGCGUAGGCGGUUUGGUUAGUUGGAGGUGAAAGCCCUGGGCUCAACCUGGGAGGUGCCUUCAAUACGGCCAGACUUGAGAGCGGGAGAGGAUGACGGAAUUCCCAGUGUAGAGGUGAAAUUCGU